rnacentral:tRNA from 1 species
CCUGGUGCAGCAGAACCAGGAAUUGCAUAAGACUUAAACCCUUCCACUAGACGUUCAAACCGUCUCGCCAGAA